rnacentral:rRNA from 1 species
UACGGAGGGUGCAAGCGUUACUCGGAAUCACUGGGCGUAAAGCGCAUGCAGGCGGCCAGAUAAGUUGGAAGUGAAAGCCUACGGCUCAACCGUAGAACUGCUUCCAAAACUGUUUGGCUAGAGUCUGGGAGGGGAAGAUGGAAUUAGUAGUGUAGGGGUAAAAUCCGUAGAGAUUACUAGGAAUACCAAAAGCGAAGGCGAUCUUCUGGAACAGUACUGACGCUGAGAUGCGAAAGCGUGGGGAGCAAACAGGAUUAGAUACCCCUGGUAGUCCACGCAGUAAACGAUGAAUGUUAGUCGUUGGUAUCCUAGAGAUAUCAGUGAUGCAGUUAACACAUUAAACAUUCCGCCUGGGGAGUACGGUCGCAAGAUUAAAACUCAAAGGAAUAGACGGGGACCCGCACAAGUGGUGGAGCAUGUGGUUUAAUUCGAAGAUACGCGAAGAACCUUACCUAGCCUUGACAUAUUUUAGAACUCACCAGAGAUGGAGAGGUGCCUUCGGGAGCUAAUUUACAGGUGCUGCACGGCUGUCGUCAGCUCGUGUCGUGAGAUGUUGGGUUAAGUCCCGCAACGAGCGCAACCCUCGUCACUAGUUACUAACGGUUCGGCCGAGGACUCUAGUGAGACUGCCUUCGUAAGGAGGAGGAAGGUGAGGACGACGUCAAGUCAUCAUGGCCCUUACGGCUAGGGCAACACACGUGCUACAAUGGUUAGGACAAUGAGAAGCAAUAUCGCGAGGUGGAGCAAAUCUAUAAACCUAAUCUCAGUUCGGAUUGUAGUCUGCAACUCGACUACAUGAAGCUGGAAUCACUAGUAAUCGUAGAUCAGCUAUGCUACGGUGAAUACGUUCCCGGGUC